rnacentral:rRNA from 1 species
CGUGUAGGCGGUUUGUCAAGUCGGGUGUGAAAGCCUGGGGCUCAGCCCCAGAAGUGCAUCCGAAACUAGCGAGCUAGAGCGCGAUAGAGGAGGGUGGAAUUCCUGGUGUAGCGGUGAAAUGCGUAGAUAUCAGGAGGAACACCGGCGGCGAAGGCGGCCCUCUGGAUCGUUGCUGACGCUGAGACGCGAAAGCGUGGGGAGCAAACAGGAUUAGAUACCCUGGUAGUCCACGCCUUAAACGAUGGGUACUAGGUGUUCGGGGUGUUGACCCCCUGAGUGCCGCAGUUAACGCAUUAAGUACCCCGCCUGGGACUACGGCCGCAAGGUUAA